rnacentral:tRNA from 2 species
GGCAAGGUGGCCGAGUUGGUUAUGGCGCCAGGUUAAGGUCCUGGUUCGGAAACGAGCGUGGGUUCGAGUCCCACCCUUGUCA